rnacentral:misc_RNA from 1 species
UACGAAGAUACUUACGAUGAGUGUCCACACAGAUUGAUGGUUUAGAUUUAGUUAAAGCCAGAGCUUUAAUUAAUAACGUAAGUUAUUGAUUAAAGCUUUUUGCUUUAUGCUCUUUAACAAUUUGGAAAGCUGACUGAUUGAUUACUUACGAGUAAUUCAAUCAAAUUUAAAAGUUCUCAAUGUUUAUCUUUCAUUAGAUAAACACAACAAACACAUUCAAGUGUCUUGUAUUCGAAUCAAACGUUAGUUUGAUUCACAAUUGAGUCCGGCAAACAGUCAUCAAGAAUUAACCCUUCUUGAUGACAACCAAAAACCUUGGUUAGUUGCCAUACGCUAAGACCCUUUCGGGUUGU